UACAGAGGGUGCAAGCGUUAAUCGGAUUUACUGGGCGUAAAGCGUGUGUAGGUGGCUUCCUAAGUCGGUUGUGAAAUCCCUGGGCUCAACCUGGGAAUUGCAGUCGAUACUGGGAAGCUCGAGUUCGGUAGAGGGUGACGGAAUUCCGGUGUAGCGGUGAAAGUGCGUAGAGAUCGGGAGGAAGGCCGGUGGCGAAGGCGGCGCUCUGGAACGUUUCGUGACGCUGAGGCUCGAAGCGUGGGGAGCAACAGGG
rnacentral:rRNA from 1 species